UUUGUAGUGUAGUAUAUCCCAUGCAAUAUUUGUGAAAUAGUUAUAGUAAAA
rnacentral:pre_miRNA from 1 species